GACGAACGCUGGCGGCGUGCUUAACACAUGCAAGUCGAACGGAAAGGCCCUGCUUUUGUGGGGUGCUCGAGUGGCGAACGGGUGAGUAACACGUGAGUAACCUGCCCUUGACUUUGGGAUAACUUCAGGAAACUGGGGCUAAUACCGGAUAGGAGCUCCUGCUGCAUGGUGGGGGUUGGAAAGUUUCGGCGGUUGGGGAUGGACUCGCGGCUUAUCAGCUUGUUGGUGGGGUAGUGGCUUACCAAGGCUUUGACGGGUAGCCGGCCUGAGAGGGUGACCGGCCACAUUGGGACUGAGAUACGGCCCAGACUCCUACGGGAGGCAGCAGUGGGGAAUAUUGCACAAUGGGCGGAAGCCUGAUGCAGCAACGCCGCGUGCGGGAUGACGGCCUUCGGGUUGUAAACCGCUUUCGCCUGUGACGAAGCGUGAGUGACGGUAAUGGGUAAAGAAGCACCGGCUAACUACGUGCCAGCAGCCGCGGUGAUACGUAGGGUGCGAGCGUUGUCCGGAUUUAUUGGGCGUAAAGGGCUCGUAGGUGGUUGAUCGCGUCGGAAGUGUAAUCUUGGGGCUUAACCCUGAGCGUGCUUUCGAUACGGGUUGACUUGAGGAAGGUAGGGGAGAAUGGAAUUCCUGGUGGAGCGGUGGAAUGCGCAGAUAUCAGGAGGAACACCAGUGGCGAAGGCGGUUCUCUGGGCCUUUCCUGACGCUGAGGAGCGAAAGCGUGGGGAGCGAACAGGCUUAGAUACCCUGGUAGUCCACGCUGUAAACGGUGGGUACUAGGUGUGGGGUCCAUUCCACGGGUUCCGUGCCGUAGCUAACGCUUUAAGUACCCCGCCUGGGGAGUACGGCCGCAGGGCUAAAACUCAAAGGAAUUGACGGGGCCCCGCACAAGCGGCGGAGCAUGCGGAUUAAUUCGAUGCAACGCGUAGAACCUUACCUGGGUUUGACAUGGAUCGGGAGUGCUCAGAGAUGGGUGUGCCUCUUUUGGGGUCGGUUCACAGGUGGUGCAUGCCUGUCGUCAGCUCGUGUCGUGAGAUGUUGGGUUAAGUCCCGCAACGAGCGCAACCCUUGUUCACUGUUGCCAGCACGUUAUGGUGGGGACUCAGUGGAGACCGCCGGGGUCAACUCGGAGGAAGGUGGGGAUGACGUCAAGUCCUCAUGCCCCUUAUGUCCAGGGCUUCACGCAUGCUACAAUGGCUGGUACAGAGAGUGGCGAGCCUGUGAGGGUGAGCGAAUCUCGGAAAGCCGGUCUCAGUUCGGAUUGGGGUCUGCAACUCGACCUCAUGAAGUCGGAGUCGCUAGUAAUCGCAGAUCAGCAACGCUGCGGUGAAUACGUUCCCGGGGCU
rnacentral:rRNA from 1 species